rnacentral:rRNA from 1 species
AAACCAGCACCUCAAGUGGUCAGGAUGAUUAUUGGGCCUAAAGCAUCCGUAGCCUGUUAUGUAAGUUUACGGUUAAAUCCAUAUGCUCAACAUAUGGGCUGCCGAAAAUACUGCAUAACUAGGGAGUGGGAGAGGUAGACGGUACUCGGUAGGAAGGGGUAAAAUCCUUUGAUCUAUUGAUGACCACCUGUGGCGAAGGCGGUCUACCAGAACAUGUCCGACGGUGAGGGAUGAAAGCUGGGGGAGCAAACCGGAUUAGAAACCCGAGUAGUCC